rnacentral:lncRNA from 1 species
UGCUAUUUCUGUAGUGCUUCAAAACGCAGUGCAGUUUUUGAAUUUAAUGGAUGAGAGAGGAAUCUUGCGUCAUGCAUAAACCAUGUCUAUCAUAAUUAAUAUGCUAGCAGCAGAUGACCUAGAUUGUGAGAGUAGAGAUAGACUGCGUGACUACUUUGUGAAGUGAUGAACUAAGGUAUUCCGUUUAUAUAUUUGAUCAGUAGACAUUAUUUUGUUCAAAAUAAGUAUGUGAUAUUACAUGCUUUGCUUUGUUUAAUGAAAUAAAUAAAGGAUGUAACAACUUUCUCUAUUCACGUUAGAACAAAGGAUGUAAACGCUUUCAUUAUUUAAUGUAAGAUCUCC